GGAAUAUUGGACAAUGGGCGAAAGCCUGAUCCAGCAAUGCCGCGUGAGUGAUGAAGGCCUUAGGGUUGUAAAGCUCUUUUACCAGGGAUGAUAAUGACAGUACCUGGAGAAUAAGCUCCGGCUAACUCCGUGCCAGCCGCCGCGGUAAUACGGAGGGAGCUAGCGUUGUUCGGAAUUACUGGGCGUAAAGGGCUCGUAGGCGGCCAACUAAGGCGGACGUGAAAUCCCCAGGCUCAACUUGGGAACUGCGUCCGAUACUGGAUGGCUUGAAUUCGGGAGAGGGAUGCAGAAUUCCAGGUGUAGCGGUGAAAUGCGUAGAUAUCUGGAGGAAUACCGGUGGCGAAGGCGGCAUCCUGGACCGACAUUGACGCUGAUGAGCGAAAGCCAGGGGAGCAAA
rnacentral:rRNA from 1 species